GACGAACGCUGGCGGCGUGCCUAAUACAUGCAAGUCGAACGCUUCUUUCCUCCCGGGUGCUUGCACUCAAUUGGGAAGAGGAGGGGAGGACGGGGGAGUAACACGGGGGUGAGCUAUCACUCAGAGGGGGAUAACACAUGGACACAGGUGCUAAUAGCGCGUAACAGUUUAUGCCGCGUGGCAUACGAGUGAAAGGCACUUUCGGGCGUCGCUGAUGGUUGGACCCGCGGUGCAUUAGCUAGUUGGUGAGGUAACGGCCCACCAAGGCAACGAUCCGUAACCGGUCUGAGAGGAUAAUCGGCCACACUGGAACUGAGACACGGCCCAGACUCCUACGGGAGGCAGCAGUGGGGAAUCUUCGGCAAUGGACGAAAGCCUGACCGAGCAACGCCGCGUGAGUGAAGAAGGUUUUCGGAUCGUAAAACACUGUUGUUAGAGAAGAAGGAGGACGUUAGUAACUGAUCGUCCCCUGACGGUAUCUAACCAGAAAGCCACGGCUAACUACGUG
rnacentral:rRNA from 1 species